CUCUGGUAUGCCGUCGCGCCUCCGCUGCCACCUAGGGUGCCCCUGACGUCGCCCAGCUCCUCCUCACGCGACGACCCCCUGCGACACACGCCUCCUUGAUGUUCUGCCCCGGACACGGGCGCCUCCCCGUCCACCCUCCGGUGACCGAAACCAGCUCCGCCCGCCGUAGCAGAGGACAGGCCCCGUUCGUGGCCUCCCCUCCCCUCCGCCCGGGUGCGACCUUCCCUGCGCUCUGGCGCGGCCUGCCCUCCCCUCUGGUGCGACCUGCUCUCUGGUACGGCCCGCCCUCCUCCAGCACACCUGCACUCUGCUCCGUCGGCGCAACGACCGAGCACCAUACCUCCCUCCUCUCUCCCACUAGGACGACAGUGUAGUUUGCAGGAAAAAUAAAAGAAACCGCUUUCUACAUGCAAAAGGGCAUCAAAUUUUGGAAGAAGUAUGGCGUUGAAUG